UACCUGAGAACCAACAAUCCAGAGGAGGGAAGCAAAGUCCACAAUGCCCUUCGAUCACCUAGCUUCAAACACCAUGCGCUGCCCUGUUUGCAAUAUCCCGCGGGUCUCACGUGUCAGUCCUGUUCUGUAAGAGAGAGAGGCAUGCAGCAGAACAGGUGGCUUCAUAGGGUAUGAAAAAUAAGCAUAAAGAUUGCAAAGGGUGGUAAGGUACAAAAAAUUCUCUGUAAAGCACACUAUACAUGGCAAUUGACACCUUUCUUAUGGCCCCACACAGUGGACAAAUCACACUAACAGGAACGGGCUGAUCUUCCCAGAGGAGUCAUUUCACAGGGCCGUCUGGAGCCAUCCUACUUCUAAUCUAUUCCGAAAGUCACAGAUCUCACCAUGGCUGAGUUUCUGAAGGUCAUUGAUCUACUUUAUGUUUCCUGUGAUGUACAGCUUCAUCUAGCUUGGAGGUGAAAGAUAUAGUUAAGAAGGCAAAGUGAAGAAAAGAAUUUGGCCAUGCAGCACUUUCAGCUCAAAGGGAUAUUAAUGAUCCUAAUGGAUUCAAGAGGAAAAGAAAAUGCUUCCAACCUCUUUAUAAGGCCAAGGAAUUGCUAACACACAGUGUUUGAAAGCAUAAAAA